UGGGGAAUAUUCCACAAUGGGCGCAAGCCUGAUGCAGCAACGCCGCGUGAACGAUGAAGGUCUUCGGAUCGUAAAGUUCUGUUUCAGGGGAAGAUUAUGACGGUACUCUGUGAGGAAGCUCCGGCUAACUACGUGCCAGCAGCCGCGGUAAUACGUAGGGGGCUAGCGUUAUCCGGAUUUAUUGGGCGUAACGGGUGCGUAGGUGGUCUUUCAAGUCGGUGGUUAAAGGCUACGACUCAACCGUAGAUAGCCGCCGAAACUAGAAGACUUGAGUGCAGGAGAGGAAAGUGGAAUUCCCAGUGGAGCGGUGAAAUGCGUAGAUAUUGGGAGGAACACCAGUAGCGAAGGCGGCUUUCUGGACUGCAACUGACACUGAGGCACGAAAGCGUGGGUAGCAAACAGG
rnacentral:rRNA from 1 species